UACGUAGGUGACGAGCGUUAUCCGGAAUUAUUGGGCGUAAAGCGCACGCACGCGGUUCUGCAAGUCUGACGUGAAAUCUCCUGGCUUAACUGGGAGCGGUCGUUGGAAACUGCAGAGCUUGAGGCGAUGAGAGGGGUGCAGAAUUCCCGGUGUAGUGGUGGAAUGCGUAGAGAUCGGGGGGAAUACCUGUGGCGAAAGCGGCACCCUGGCGUCGUUCUGACGCUCAUGUGCGAAAGCGUGGGGAGCGAACGGG
rnacentral:rRNA from 1 species